rnacentral:rRNA from 1 species
AGCGGGAAGUAGUUUACUACUUUGCCGGCGAGCGGCGGACGGGUGAGUAAUGUCUGGGAAACUGCCUGAUGGAGGGGGAUAACUACUGGAAACGGUAGCUAAUACCGCAUAACGUCUUCGGACCAAAGUGGGGGACCUUAGGGCCUCACGCCAUCGGAUGUGCCCAGAUGGGAUUAGCUAGUAGGUGGGGUAAUGGCUCACCUAGGCGACGAUCCCUAGCUGGUCUGAGAGGAUGACCAGCCACACUGGAACUGAGACACGGUCCAGACUCCUACGGGAGGCAGCAGUGGGGAAUAUUGCACAAUGGGCGCAAGCCUGAUGCAGCCAUGCCGCGUGUGUGAAGAAGGCCUUCGGGUUGUAAAGCACUUUCAGCGAGGAGGAAGGCCAAUAACUUAAUACGUUGUUGGAUUGACGUUACUCGCAGAAGAAGCACCGGCUAACUCCGUGCCAGCAGCCGCGGUAAUACGGAGGGUGCAAGCGUUAAUCGGAAUUACUGGGCGUAAAGCGCACGCAGGCGGUUUGUUAAGUCAGAUGUGAAAUCCCCGCGCUUAACGUGGGAACUGCAUUUGAAACUGGCAAGCUAGAGUCUUGUAGAGGGGGGUAGAAUUCCAGGUGCAGCGGUGAAAUGCGUAGAGAUCUGGAGGAAUACCGGUGGCGAAGGCGGCCCCCUGGACAAAGACUGACGCUCAGGUGCGAAAGCGUGGGGAGCAAACA